GCCGCCGAGUGGCGAACGGGUGAGUAAUACAUCGGAACGUGCCCUGUAGUGGGGAUAACUAGUCGAAAGAUUAGCUAAUACCGCAUACGACUGAGGGUGAAAGUGGGGGACCGCAAGGCCUCAUGCUAUAGGAGCGGCCGAUGUCUGAUUAGCUAGUUGGUGGGGUAAAGGCCCACCAAGGCGACGAUCAGUAGCUGGUCUGAGAGGACGAUCAGCCACACUGGGACUGAGACACGGCCCAGACUCCUACGGGAGGCAGCAGUGGGGAAUUUUGGACAAUGGGCGAAAGCCUGAUCCAGCAAUGCCGCGUGUGUGAAGAAGGCCUUCGGGUUGUAAAGCACUUUUGUCCGGAAAGAAAUGGCUCUGGUUAAUACCUGGGGUCGAUGACGGUACCGGAAGAAUAAGGACCGGCUAACUACGUGCCAGCAGCCGCGGUAAUACGUAGGGUCCAAGCGUUAAUCGGAAUUACUGGGCGUAAAGCGUGCGCAGGCGGUUGUGCAAGACCGAUGUGAAAUCCCCGAGCUUAACUUGGGAAUUGCAUUGGUGACUGCACGGCUAGAGUGUGUCAGAGGGGGGUAGAAUUCCACGUGUAGCAGUGAAAUGCGUAGAGAUGUGGAGGAAUACCGAUGGCGAAGGCAGCCCCCUGGGAUAACACUGACGCUCAUGCACGAAAGCGUGGGGAGCAAACAGGAUUAGAUACCCUGGUAGUCCACGCCCUAAACGAUGUCAACUAGUUGUUGGGGAUUCAUUUCCUUAGUAACGUAGCUAACGCGUGAAGUUGACCGCCUGGGGAGUACGGUCGCAAGAUUAAAACUCAAAGGAAUUGACGGGGACCCGCACAAGCGGUGGAUGAUGUGGAUUAAUUCGAUGCAACGCGAAAAACCUUACCUACCCUUGACAUGCCACUAACGAAGCAGAGAUGCAUUAGGUGCUCGAAAGAGAAAGUGACA
rnacentral:rRNA from 1 species